rnacentral:rRNA from 1 species
CCGCGGUAAUACGGAGGGNGCAAGCGUUAUCCGGAAUUAUUGGGCGUAAAGAGUCCGUAGGUAGUCAUGCAAGUCUGCUGUCAAAGCCCACAGCUCAACUGUGGAUCGGCGGUGGAAACUGCAUGACUUGAGUGCGGUAGGGGUAGAGGGAAUUCCCAGUGUAGCGGUGAAAUGCGUAGAUAUUGGGAAGAACACCGGUGGCGAAAGCGCUCUACUGGACCGUAACUGACACUGAGGGACGAAAGCCAAGGUAGCGAAAGGGAUUAGAUACCCCUGUAGUCUUGGCCGUAAACGAUGGAUACUAGGCGUUGUCUGUAUCGACCCGGACAGUGCCGAAGCUAACGCGUUAAGUAUCCCGCCUGGGGAGUACGCACGCAAGUGUGAAACUCAAAGGAAUUGACGGGGGCCCGCACAAGCGGUGGAGUAUGUGGUUUAAUUCGAUGCAACGCGAAGAACCUUACCAAGAUUUGACAUCCCGUGAACUUUCCAGAGAUGGAUUGGUGCCUUCGGGAACACGGAGACAGGUGGUGCAUGGCUGUCGUCAGCUCGUGUCGUGAGAUGUUGGGUUAAGUCCCGCAACGAGCGCAACCCUCGUCNUUAGUUGCCAUCAUUAAGUUGGGCACUCUAGGGAGACUGCCGGGGACAACUCGGAGGAAGGUGGGGAUGACGUCAAGUCAUCAUGCCCCUUAUAUUUUGGGCUACACACGUACUACAAUGGUCGGGACAAAGGGCAGCAACCCCGCGAGGGCAAGCGAAUCUCUCAAACCCG